rnacentral:lncRNA from 1 species
GGGGGGGGUUAGGAUGAAAAAUUUUGUCUUGCAUGUUUUUUAGCUGUAAUCUCUGUCCUGUCUUUUUUAUUUUUCACUCUGUUCGGUCCUGCCUUUUUUUUUUUUUUUUUUUAGUUUAUCCUGACUUUUUUUUACCUGAAUUGUCGUCCUGACUUUUUUUUUUGCAAGUGUCUCAUCCUGCCUUUUUUUUUACUCAAAACUCCUGUCCU